AGGGAGGCAGCAGUGAGGAAUAUUGCACAAUGGAGGAAACUCUGAUGCAGCGACGCCGCGUGAGUGAUGAAGGCCUUCGGGUUGUAAAGCUCUGUCGUACGGGAAUAAUACAGUGAAUGUACCGUGCAAGAAAGGAUCGGCUAACUUCGUGCCAGCAGCCGCGGUAAGACGAGGGAUCCAAGCGUUGUUCGGAAUUAUUGGGCGUAAAGCGGGUGCAUGUGGCUCUGUAAGUCAGGUGUGAAAUCCCAGGGCUCAACCCUGGAAGUGCAUUUGAUACUGCAGAGCUUGAGUGCUGGAGAGGUAAGUAGAAUACCUAGUGUAGUGGUGAAAUACGUAGAUAUUAGGUGGAAUACCGGAGGCGAAGGCGGCUUACUGGCCAGACACUGACACUCAGACCCGAAAGCGUGGGGAUCAAACAGGAUUAGAUACCCCUGUAGUCC
rnacentral:rRNA from 1 species